GGCGUAUCGCCCGCUCGUUGCUCUUUUUUAUCCGCUCCUCCUCAGAGAAAGAGAGCGGGAGAGCGCGCGAGCGAGCGAGCAAACCCUAAUUUCUCUCCCUUCUCUUCAUGUUUCUUCUCCGGACAUCGGAGAGCGAGGAGGAAUUUGCGCCGCUCCCAUUGAUCCUGAGCUGCUCGCUAUGGCGGAGCACCUCCGGCGAAGGUUCGUGAUAGGGUACGCCCUCGCCCCCAAGAAGCAGCAGAGCUUCAUACAGCCGUCGCUCGUCGGCCUCGCCGCCGGUCGUGGCAUCGAUCUCGUACCCAUCGACCCGUGCCGUGCCCUCGCCGACCAGGGCCCCUUUGACUGCAUCAUCCACAAGCUCUACGGCGACGACUGGAAGGCCCAGCUCGAGGACUUCGCUUUCCGGCACCCCGACGUUCCCGUCGUCGACUCCCCCCAUGCCAUCGAGCGCCUCCACAACCGCAUUUCCAUGCUCCAAGUCGUCUCCGAGCUUGAGAUCCCCCAAGACCAGGAGACCUUCGGGAUCCCCAGCCAGGUCGUGAUCUACGAUUCUGGCGCCCUGUCCAACUCCGGCGUUGUCGGCGCCCUCCGCUUCCCCGUCAUCGCCAAGCCCCUCGUCGCUGAUGGCAGCGCUAAGUCCCACAAGAUGUCCCUCGUCUACCACCGCGACGGCCUCCUCAAGCUCAAGCCGCCACUAGUCCUCCAGGAAUUCGUCAACCAUGGUGGGGUCAUCUUCAAGGUCUACGUUGUUGGGGACUACGUUCAGUGCGUCAAGAGGAAGUCCCUCCCGGACGUCUCCGAUGAGAAGCUGGAGUGCACCGAGGGUUCGAUGUCCUUCUCCCAGGUGUCCAACAUGACAGCGCAAGACCGGACUGAGAAGCAGUACUACGAGACGAUGCACUUGGAGGAGGCCGAGAUGCCGCCGCUGAGCUUCGUCACAGAGAUCGCCCAGGGGCUGAGGCAGGCGAUGGGGCUGCACCUUUUCAAUUUCGAUGUGAUCAGAGAUGUGAAGGUCGGGAACCGGUACCUAGUCAUUGACAUUAACUACUUUCCCGGGUAUGCUAAAAUGCCAUCCUAUGAAACAGUUUUGACAGAGUUCUUUUGGAAUAUCGUUCAUGAAAAGGAGGAAGAAGAUGGAUCAAAUGCAGCUCCGAAAGAUGUUGAUAAUGAAAUAGAGCUUUUGGGAGGUAAUUUCAGCAAGACUGCGGGAGAAGUGGAGAAUGCAGGCUGAGAUCUGAAAAUUCGUAUUAUUGUUGUUUUUGUCGAGCACUCAAAGUAACACGAUCCACAUCCCUAUUGAUUUCUGUUGCUGCUGCCAAGUACUGGUAGAAUGUGCAAUAAAGGUUUUGCUGCAGUGCUUAUUUGGAGUCCUCAAGGUCGGGAGGUUGGAGCACCGACGGCUCCCAUAUUGAUUUUGUGGACUGUUUUUUCGUGGUGUUGAUUGAAGAAAUCAAAAAACAGGGAAUGAUUUAAAGCUUGAUGACCAAUUUUCAUCUCAUAAAUGUGGGAAGAGUUUAUGUACUAGGACAGAAGAGUAGGAAUCAGUCGAUUUGAAAGAGCUGUAAGCUAAGCAGCCAGGACUGGAUCGUCAAAAGCUUUUGAGUUCAGUCUUUCAACAUGCAGAGGUGGUGCAACUCAAUGCUAGCUUUCUUGUUGAGUCUAGAAAGAUUAGCUGGCCAUCUUAUUGCAAUCAAGUACAGCAGGAGCUAAGAGCAUUUAUUUUUCAGUAGAUAUAUGUGUUUUAUUACAAAGACCUUUGACAUUCAGAUUUAUUAUUUCAGUGUUUCGGCCAUCUUCUGACAUAAUAAUGAAAAUUUAAUUAUAUUGGUACAUCUUUUUA